rnacentral:rRNA from 1 species
ACCUGGCGGCGAGUGGCGAACGGGUGAGUAAUAUAUCGGAACGUACCCUGGAGUGGGGGAUAACGUAGCGAAAGUUACGCUAAUACCGCAUACGAUCCAAGGAUGAAAGCAGGGGACCGCAAGGCCUUGUGCUCCUGGAGCGGCCGAUAUCUGAUUAGCUAGUUGGUGGGGUAAAGGCCCACCAAGGCAUCGAUCAGUAGCUGGUCUGAGAGGACGACCAGCCACACUGGAACUGAGACACGGUCCAGACUCCUACGGGAGGCAGCAGUGGGGAAUUUUGGACAAUGGGCGCAAGCCUGAUCCAGCAAUGCCGCGUGAGUGAAGAAGGCCUUCGGGUUGUAAAGCUCUUUUGUCAGGGAAGAAACGGUGAGGGCUAAUAUCCCUUGCUAAUGACGGUACCUGAAGAAUAAGCACCGGCUAACUACGUGCCAGCAGCCGCGGUAAUACGUAGGGUGCAAGCGUUAAUCGGAAUUACUGGGCGUAAAGCGUGCGCAGGCGGUUUUGUAAGUCUGUCGUGAAAUCCCCGGGCUCAACCUGGGAAUGGCGAUGGAGACUGCAAGGCUAGAGUUUGGCAGAGGGGGGUAGAAUUCCACGUGUAGCAGUGAAAUGCGUAGAUAUGUGGAGGA